CAGUUUCCUCCUCUGAGCUGGAGAAGGAAGUGAUAAACCCACUCCAGUAUCUCUGCCAAGAAAACCCCAAAUGAAGUCACAAAGAGCCAGACAUGGCAAAACUACUGACCAUCAACAACAUACAUUGUAAAGAAGGUGUUUACUUGUAUUGAUAGAACUUCAUCCCCAGAACUUCCCCCACCAAUUAAAAUCACAGGUACAAGCCCUGUCUUCUAUCCACAUCCAAUAGAGAAGGAGAGGAAUUGAGCUUUUCAAGAGAAGGAGAGGAGAGGAGCUACUAAAAAGAUAUGGAUGGAGAUGGGAGCCAAGAGAAAAGGGACAGCCAUGAGCAAAAAGGUGUGCCUCGGGUAUCAAACCUGAGCAUCCACUAACAAAAUUGGCAUCAAUUGGCACCGGUCUAGACAUGUACAGAUCAAAAGGGCCACAGAGCCCAAGACGCUGAUCAUGGGGGACCAGGAUCAUGAAGAGCAGAGGAGUCCCAAUUACUCCUGAGGA